rnacentral:lncRNA from 1 species
AAUAUUCAAAAUGUACACAUAAAUUAACAAAGUACAAUAAUAAAAUCCUAAUACAAGCCUAUUGUGGUAGUAGUGGAGGAGGAUAUGUUUUGAUAGCAUCCUAAUCAUCAACUUUAGCGUCGAAGUGUCAACGGUUCCCUACAAAAAAACAAAUAUGGUCAAAUAACAAAAAAAAAAAAAAAUUGGCAUAAUCUCCCCUAAAUUUGUUAUACCACAAAUCCAACCCAAACUCCAAUCCUCACCCUAUACUCAACCCCAAACCCCACACAAACUCAAAACUAACUCCAAAAACACAUAUUAAUAAAUAAAAAAUUAAAAUUUGGAGAGAAUAUACCUUUUGGUAAGAUUGAGAGUGAGUGAGAAUGAGAGGGAGAAGUGAGUGUGAGAGAAUUAGAGAAUAUAAUGAGAGAGAGAGAGAGAGAGAGAGAGAUGAGUGAGUGAGAGAUAGUGAAAAGAGAUAUGAGAGAGUGAGAGAUACUGAAGAGAGAGAUGAGAGAUUAAAUGAGAGGAGUGAGUGUGAGAGAAAGAGUGGGAUUUGGGGAAAGGGAAAGAGAGAGGAGAGGUAAGAGUAGAGAAAGACAUUGAGAAAAUGGUGGAGGAGUUAUUUUGGUUUUAAAAACCGUAUCAUUUUGCGCGACGAAAAAUAUAUAUUAGUGGCACAAAGUUUUGCUCGACGAAAAAUAUUGGAUUAUUGGUCGCGCAAAGUUUUGCGCGAUGAAAAAUAUUGGUAGCGCAAAGUCCAAAAAAAAUUAAAAAAAAUUUUCUUCCUACGUCUCAUUUUUGGUACCUGCGCAAAUUUUUAAAGUUUUCCGCGACGAAAAAUAUUGGUCGCGCAAAGUCUAAAAAAAAAAUUUCCCAUGUCUCAUUUUUGGUACCCACCCAAAUUUUUAAAGUUUUGCGCAACGAAAAAUAUUCGAAUAUUGAUAGCACAAAGUUUUGCGUGACGAAAAAAAUUGGUUGCUCUAAGUCUUUAAAAAAAAAAUAAUUAAUUUUCCCAAGUCCCAUUUUUGGUACCCACCCAAAUUUUAAAAGUUUUGCGUGACAAAAAUUAUUCGAAUAUUGGUCACGCAAAGUCUAAAAAAAAUGUUAAAGUUUUGUGUAUAUAUAUUAUACACACACACACCAUUCAACGAUCCAACCGUUAAACUUGUUUGUAUAUACUUCAAGAUCGUAUACCCCAAAAAAUCGUAAACAACAAAC